rnacentral:rRNA from 1 species
AGAGAUAGAAAGUUACUUCGGUACAUCGGUGACAGGUGGUGCAUGGUUGUCGUCAGCUCGUGUCGUGAGAUGUUGGUUAAGUCCCGCAACGAGCGCAACCCCUAUUGUUAGUUGCCAUCAUUCAGUUGGGCACUCUAGCGAGACUGCCGGUAAUAAACCGGAGGAAGUGGGGAUGACGUCAAAUCAUCAUGCCCCUUAUGACCUGGGCUACACACGUGCUACAAUGGUUGGUACAACGAGUUGCGAGUCGGUGACGGCGAGCUAAUCUCUUAAAGCCAAUCUCAGUUCGGAUUGUAGGCUGCAACUCGCCUACAUGAAGUCGGAAUCGCUAGUAAUCGCGGAUCAGCACGCCGCGGUGAAUACGUUCCCGGGCCUU